ACGGCAUCGCCCGUGCCACCGCCUCCCUAUUCAACGAGCUCCGCAACGCAGUCUUCGCAAAAGUCGCGCAAAACUCUAUCCGAAGCAUUUCCCGAUCGAUUUUCCUCCAUCUUCACUCUCUGGAUCUCUCGUUCCACUUGAACCGUCAAACUGGAGCUCUCUCAAAAGCAAUCGAUAGAGGAACACGUGGAAUGAGCUUUGUGCUCUCUUCACUGAUAUUUAAUUUAAUUCCGACAGCCGUAGAAAUUGGAAUGGUUUCAGCAUUAUUUACGGGAACUCUCGGACCAGAAUUCGCCUAUAUGACAAUGGGAAGUAUUGGAAUGUAUGGAAUUGCGACACUUGGUGUCACGAAAUGGAGAACCAAAUUUCGACAUCAAAUGAAUCAGGCGGAUAAUGAUGCUGGAAAUAAGGCUAUCGAUUCGCUUAUCAACUAUGAAACUGUCAAAUAUUUCAAUAAUGAGAAAUUUGAAGCGGAUCGAUAUGAUCAUUUUUUGAAGAAAUAUGAAGGAGCCUCUUUGAAGACGACUUCAUCGUUGGCUCUGCUCAAUUUCACUCAGAAUGCCAUUUUUUCAGG
rnacentral:sRNA from 1 species